GCACGACAACACUCUAGUGAGGAAAGUGCAAGGAGAACAGAGAUACUUAGAUUACCAUGAGAAGCAUUUCGGUACUACUUGUUCUAGGCUUUGCCUCCUGCAUUCUAUCUCAGAGAGUGUCUUACUCCUGCCAGUCUAGCGGUUAUUCUUGCGUUCCCUGGUAUCGCUGCGCCCCAGGCUAUCGGAUAUUUGCAAGUGGAUGAGGAAUCGGAUCAGUUUGCUGCAACCUCCGAUCCAUGAACACCUGCUACGCAGCUGGCGGAACCUGUAGACGGAAAUGCCAGCACUCAGUCAGCGCUAGGGGCAGAUGCCUCUUUGGUCUGCAGUGCUGCACCGAAGUGCUCUUCUAGCCAGCUUCCACCAGCAAUGUCCACCGUGAAUUUUUACAGAAGACUGCUGUCAUGACGAGAAAUUACGUUUCCUCUCUUUUUCUAUUACCACACACCAGAAAUCUAACUACGCCGCACAACAUGCGGAUGCCAGUUCUUUAGAAGAAAAAAAGUCUGUGUUAUAUACGCGGGGGACAUAUUUUUUUUUACUUUAUAUACGAAAAACGUAAAGGCCUCUAGGGUAAGGGGGAAGUGCGGUUUCAGAAACUCAAAACAAGCCUGUUCCAAAGCAAUAAAAAAAGGCA